rnacentral:rRNA from 1 species
UUAUGGCGGACGGGUGAGUAACGCGUGAGAAUCUGCCCUCAGGAGGGGGACAACAGCUGGAAACGGCUGCUAAUACCCCAUAUGCCGCGAGGUGAAAUGAAUUUCGCCUGAGGAUGAGCUCGCGUCUGAUUAGCUAGUUGGUGUAGGUAAUGGCUCACCAAGGCAUCGAUCAGUAGCUGGUCUGAGAGGAUGAUCAGCCACACUGGGACUGAGACACGGCCCAGACUCCUACGGGAGGCAGCAGUGGGGAAUUUUCCGCAAUGGGCGAAAGCCUGACGGAGCAACGCCGCGUGAGGGAUGAAGGCCUCUGGGCUGUAAACCUCUUUUAUCAAGGAAGAAGAUCUGACGGUACUUGAUGAAUAAGCCACGGCUAAUUCCGUGCCAGCAGCCGCGGUAAUACGGGAGUGGCAAGCGUUAUCCGGAAUUAUUGGGCGUAAAGCGUCCGCAGGCGGCCCUUCAAGUCUGCUGUUAAAAAGUGGAGCUUAACUCCAUCAUGGCAGUGGAAACUGUUGGGCUUGAGUGUGGUANGGGCAGAGGGAA